rnacentral:sRNA from 1 species
UUGGUCUUUGGUAAAAACUGGUUAAUUAAAGGUUAAUACAACGGAAAUUUAAACGACUAGUUUGAGAGACUAUCAUUUUUACAUUUAUUUUAACGUUAAUUGUUAUUAUUUCUUGAAACAUUUUUGUGAUUAGGUUGCCAUUUUAACCGUUGGUUAAAUAUUAUGAUCCGAAUACGUUUGAAACGCUGUCGACAAUAAAAGGUUAACCAGGAAAAUCACCUUCGUAAGUAAAAUAUCAUUUUUCGUUCGUUUUUUUUCUGUACCUCUGAGUUUUGGUUGCAAAAUUUAUUUUUUUUGCCUUAAUUCAAUCUUUUACAGUAUGUUGCUCUUUCAUCUGCAUCUCAUCUUAAUCUAUUUUUUGGCUUAAUAGCUCAAUUUUUUUCAAAUUUUGAUACAAUAAGAAGCUCUUUACUUCCUGUGAAACAAUCUCUUUUAAACAGGUUACCAAAAUAUAAAUCAAUUUGAUUGGGUUCAAUAAA